UUUGCGUUAAGGAUUGUAGUGGAAAUCCUUUUUAUGCAAGUUUUAAAAUACCUUGAAUUUAUUUUUAUUGAUAUUAUUAAUUUAAAAGUAAAAAAACUUGAAUAAUUUCAGCAUAAAAAGAUUGAAACGUAAAGCCUGACCAAGC
rnacentral:sRNA from 1 species